rnacentral:rRNA from 1 species
CAGGGAAUUUUGCACAAUGGACGAAAGUCUGAUGCAGCGACGCCGCGUGGGGGAUGAAUGCCUUCGGGUUGUAAACCCCUUUCAGGAGGGACGAAGCGAAAGUGACGGUACCUCCAGAAGAAGCCCCGGCCAACUACGUGCCAGCAGCCGCGGUAAUACGUAGGGGGCGAACGUUGUCCGGAUUUAUUGGGCGUAAAGAGCUCGUAGGCGGCUCAACAAGUCGGUCGUGAAAGUCCGGGGCUCAACCCCGGGAUGCCGGUCGAAACUGUUGUGGCUAGGGUCCGGUAGAGGAGAGUGGAAUUCCCGGUGUAGCGGUGAAGUGCGCAGAUAUCGGGAGGAACACCAGUAGCGAAGGCGGCUCUCUGGGCCGGUACCGACGCUGAGGAGCGAAAGCUAGGGGAGCGAACAGGAUUAGAUACCC